GUAUUUCCCUUGGAACCCGGCGUUGCUUGGUCCGGUGGGGAGAGGGUCUCGGAGCGAAAGAUGCAGACAACCCCGGAAAGAAGCACGAAAGGUCUGUGGAGAGUUGUGCACCCCGGCCGUCAUUAGCUUGUGGGAUCCCAGCUCCCUGACCAGGGAUUGAACCCAGGCCCUCGGCAGUGAAAGCGUGGAGUCCCAACCACUGGACCACCAGGGAAUACCCUAAAAUAUGUACUCUUUAAAGAGGAUUCUUUAAAAAGGAGAAGCAGGUUUGAGAGUGAGCUGAAAGAAUACUAAGGACAUCAAUAGCAGACUUUAUUAAGCUACCAGCCAAGCAAACCUUGGAUUGGAUCAAGAUUAUCACAAGGUCUAGAGAGACUUAAAAAAAUAUAUUGUUUUUCUUUCCUUCAUUCUUUCACAAGGGAAUAUGCAAGACAUCCAGAGGGAGGGCUUGGAUAACUAACUUGAAAUGCUGAGACGGUAACUCCUUUGUGGCACGUUAUGAGCUGGCAAUUAAAGACAUAUCCUAAAAGGCUAGAGAAAAGCUACCUGCAGGAGCAUCUGAAACCAAGAUGUACUGAGUCUUCAAAUACAACUCUGAUAGGAAGAAAAUAUCUGAGUAGGGUUCAAAAGUUUUCUAAAUAAACCUGAAUAAAAUCAGAUUAAUAAUGA